rnacentral:rRNA from 1 species
UGUUAGUAUUUAUUUAUUAAUUAAUUUUUUUUUUAUAUAUUUUUAUUAAAAAUAAUUAUUAAAGUUAAUGUUUUAGUAAGGUUUAGAGAAAGAAUAAUAUUGAAUUAUAGUGUAUUAGUAUUGUGAGAGAUUAUUGAAAUAUAUUGAAAAAUAUUUAUUAGUAAAGAAAACUUUAUUUGUUGUACCUUGUGUAUCAGGGUGUAUUAAAUAGUUAAUAUUUAUUUAUUAGUCUCGAUUUUAUAAGAGUUAAUAGUAUAUUAAAGUUAGUGUAUCAAAACUAUUUUGUAUAUAUUAUUAGAAAUGAAAUGUUAUUCGUUUAUAAAGGUAUCUAGUUUUUUUAGAAAUAAAUUUAAUUUACUAAUUUUUAAGCUUUUGUUUUAUUUUUUAAUCAAUAGAUUUAUUAAUUAGAAUACUUUAAGGGAUAAGCUUUAAAGUAAAUUAUUAAAAGUUUAUAUUAAUGUUUUUAAAAUAUAGGCAUAGAAUUUGUUAUUAUUGUAAAGUUUGUUAUAAAUUAUUUUAUUAAUUAUAUUAUUUUUGUUAAUUUCUUUAAUUAUUUAUAAAAAUUUUCCUUUUAAUUUAUAAAAAGAGGUAAUAAUGAUUUAAUUAGUAUAUAGUUUUGUAUUAAUAAAUUUAUUGUGAUAAGUUUAUAUAAAGAACUCGGCAAAUAUUAUAUGCCCGCCUGUUUAACAAAAACAUGUCUUUUUGAGUUAAUUUUAAAGUCUGACCUGCCCAAUGAUUUAUUUAAUGGCCGCAGUAUACUAACUGUGCAAAGGUAGCAUAAUCAAUAGUCUUUUAAUUGAAGGCUGGUAUGAAUGGUUGGACGAGGUAUAUACUGUUUCAUAUAAAUUUAUAGUAGAAUUUUAUAUUUUAGUUAAAAAGCUAAGAUUUUAUUAAAAGACGAGAAGACCCUAUAAAUCUUUAUAUUUUAUUUAAUUUCUGGUUAUAUAGAUUAUUUUUGUUGUUAUUAAUUAAAUUAUUUUAUUGGGGUGAUAUUAAAAUUUAAUGAACUUUUAAUUAUAUUAAAACAUUAGUUAAUGAUUGAUUGAUCCAUUAUUAGUGAUUAUAAGAAUAAGUUACUUUAGGGAUAACAGCGUAAUUUUUUUGGAGAGUUCUUAUCGAUAAAAGAGAUUGCGACCUCGAUGUUGGAUUAAAGUAUAUUUUUAGGUGUAGCCGCUUAAUUAAUAAGUCUGUUCGACUUUUAAAUCUUUACAUGAUCUGAGUUCAGACCGGCGUAAGCCAGGUUGGUUUCUAUCUUUAAUGUUUUAUGAUAUUUUAGUACGAAAGGACCAAAUAUCAAAAUGAUAAUAUUUUACUUUAUGAAUAUUAAUAAUUUAAA